UCGAGGAUCUUCGGCAAUGGGCGCAAGCCUGACCGAGCGACGCCGCGUGCGGGAUGAAGGCCUUCGGGUUGUAAACCGCUGUCAGUGGGGAGGAAAUUUCUGGGGGUUCUCCCCCAGGAUUGACUUAUCCGCAGAGGAAGUGUGGGCUAAGCUCGUGCCAGCAGCCGCGGUAAGACGAGCCACACAAACGUUAUUCGGAAUUACUGGGCUUAAAGGGUGCGUAGGCGGCGCGGAAAGUUGGGUGUGAAAGCCCUCGGCUCAACCGGGGAAUGGCGCCCAAAACUACCGUGCUCGAGAAAGACAGAGGUGAGCGGAACUCAGGGUGGAGCGGUGAAAUGCGUUGAUAUCCUGAGGAACACCGGUGGCGAAAGCGGCUCACUGGGUCUUUUCUGACGCUGAGGCACGAAAGCUAGGGUAGCGAACGG
rnacentral:rRNA from 1 species